GGGUCAGUAGGUUGGUCGUGCCACCGGUACGUACUGGUCUCACUGAUUCCUCCUUCCUGAAGAACCGUAAUGCCAUUAAUUUGGUGUUGCGGGGAAACAGGACUGUUACUUUGAAAAAAUUAGAGUGUUUAAAGCAAGCUAACGCUUGAAUACAUUAGCUUGGAAUAAUGAAAUAGGACUAUCGAUCCUAUUUUGUUGGUUUCUAGGAUUGACGUA
rnacentral:rRNA from 1 species